rnacentral:rRNA from 1 species
GACGUAGGGCGCGAGCGUUGUCCGGAUUUAUUGGGCGUAAAGAGCUCGUAGGCGGCUUGUCGCGUCGACCGUGAAAACUUGGGGCUCAACCCCAAGCCUGCGGUCGAUACUGGCAGGCUUGAAUCCGGGAGAGGGAUGCGGAAUUCCAGGUGUAGCGGUGAAAUGCGUAGAUAUCUGGAGGAACACCGGUGGCGAAGGCGGCAUCCUGGACCGGCAUUGACGCUGAGGCGCGAAAGCCAGGGGAGCAAACGGG